rnacentral:snoRNA from 1 species
AAGCAACACUCUGUAGCAGAUGGUCAAUACACAAUUUGAACUUUCAAGAAAGUCUAACCUAUUAACGUGUUCUCUCUUUCCUGAAACAAGUUGUUUUCUAGACUUAAACUAA